ACCAAAGGCAAAGUGGUUCUCUCGGACCCAAAAAUGCAGAGGUUUCUCUCUCUCCAGGUUGCCUCAAACCUCCCCAAGAAACUCUCUAACACCUCCACUUCCUCUUCACUUCUCCAUGCUCGCCGUUUCCUACCCUUCUAUUCCGCUAUCAAACCGAAUAACCCAGCCCAAAACCAACUUCUCUGCUCUUUUCACCCAUUUCACCACCAGUCUCAUUCGCGACAUAUUUUUUCAGGGAAAUCUAUUUAUGGGUUCCUCUCAAAGCCAGCGAUUGCAAAGCAGUUCUUGUUGGACUCCACAAAUAAUUUCUUGAGGGCCUCAAGCAAGAGUGUUGCAGAUUGUAGAGUUCGGUUUGUUGGAGCUCAAUUUCAUAGGCAGAGCUUUAGGUUCAACCCGAGUUUUGAUUCUCAUAGGCGUGGCUGGAGAUCAUGGUUUCAAGGAUUCACUGUUGAUGGUGUGGUUUAUGGCUUGAUUAUGGCUAAUGUAGCUGUUUUUAUGUUAUGGCGUGUCGCAGAUCCUCAAUUUAUGAGGAAAAACUUUAUGAUCUCACUGGAUAAUAUUACAAGUGGACGACUGCAUGUGUUGAUAACUUCUGCAUUCAGUCAUAUUGAUGUCGGGCAUAUUGUUUCCAACAUGAUCGGAUUAUACUUCUUUGGAAUGAAUAUUGGAAGAGCUUUCGGACCUGAAUUUUUGCUUAAGUUGUAUCUUGCCGGGGCUCUUGGUGGUUCAAUAUUUUUCUUGGCGCACAAAGCCUUUAUUGCCUCAUCAUCAAAGGUACAAAUGCCUGGGGAGAGUGACUUAACUAGUAUGAGCUGCGAUAAAAAGGCCAACAUCUGUGGAAUCUGGACCCAUCGAAGACACCAGGAUUGGGGGCAAGUGGGGCUGUGAAUGCUAUCAUGCUGCUUGAUAUAUUCCUCUUUCCAAAAUCUACGCUCUAUUUUGAAUUUAUUAUCCCAGUCCCUGCCAUCUUACUGGGUAUCUUCCUAAUAGGAAAAGAUAUCUUGAGGAUAAUAGAGGGAGACAGCCAUAUAUCAGGAGCAGCACACUUGGGGGGUGCUGCAGUUGCGGCUAUAACCUGGGCUCGAAUUCGGAAAGGACGUUUCUAAAUCAUACCUGAGUUUGAAAAAGAUUUUUCUAAAUCAUACCACAAUUCUAUAAACUCCUUUCUCUAGUGCCAUUAUCGUCGGUUUUCCUUUUCUUGUGUUUAAACCUCCCUAUGAUUACUUGUAAUGUGAUAGGCUAGAAACGGUGGAAACGUGACUGCUUCUUAGGCCAGUGAGGUUUAGAGUUGGUGCAUGUUAGGAAAUGCAUCCAUUUUUCCUUCUUACUCCGAAGGAAAUUUCAUGAAAAUGGCAUGUUUAGCAGCAGUACUACCAGGCUUGUGUGUUUCUUUUUUCUUUUCUUUUUAGUUUUUUCCCAUUAAUUUCAUGAAAAUAGCAUGUUUAGCUGGGUGUAGAAUGAUUCAUUGACCAGGCUGGUAUUACUAUCAGCGGUACAAGUACAUUAUAUUCUCCACCCCUAUUUGACCACGGGGGUGGAGGUAGAUUGUAAUAUCCCUAACUGGAGAAUGCAAUCA